AAAGCUUAGCAAAACCUCCAUC
rnacentral:snRNA from 1 species